UCCAACCCAUCCCGGGGUGGGAAAAAGCCUUUGGGUUUUAAACCCUUUCAAGGAGGAAAAACCCUUAUGGUUAAUUCCCAUAAAGAAAGACAUACCUUUCCAAGAAGAAGCACCGGUUUAUUCCGUCCAGGCACCCGGGGUAUAUUCGGGAGGGUGGCGAGCGUUAAAUCGGAAUUACUGGGCGUAAAGCGCGGCGUAGGUGGCUUGAUAAAGCCGGUUGUGAAAGCCCCGGGCUCCAACUGGGAACGGCAUCCGGAACUGUCAAGCUAGAGUGCAGGAGAGGAAGGUAGAAUUCCCGGUGUAGCGGUGAAAUGCGUAGAGAUCGGGAGGAAUACCAGUGGCGAAGGCGGCCUUCUGGACUGACACUGACACUGAGGUGCGAAAGCGUGGGUAGCAAACAGGAUUAGAUACCCUGGUAGUCCACGCCGUAAACGAUGUCGACCAGCCGUUGGGUGCCUAGCGCACUUUGUGGCGAAGUAACGCGAUAAGUCGACCG
rnacentral:rRNA from 1 species